UACAGAGACUGCAAGCGUUAUUCGGAUUCACUGGGCGUAAAGGGUGCGCAGGCGGCCAGGUGUGUGAGGCGUGAAAGCCCGGGGCUUAACCCCGGAAUUGCACCUCAAACUACUUGGCUAGAGCAUUGGAGAGGGUAGCAGAAUUCAUGGUGUAGCAGUGAAAUGCGUAGAUAUUCGGAAGAACACCGGUGGCGAAGGCAGCCUCCUGGGCCAACACUGACGCUCAUGCACGAAAGCGUGGGGAGCAAACAGG
rnacentral:rRNA from 1 species